AAAAAAGUUAAGGUAAAACUUGUUAUUUAAGGGCCAUAGCAUCCAAAUGUGCCCUUCGCGGUCACGGGCGAAUAGACAUUUGUCAAAGUCGAAAUUGUCACUUUAGAGACGAAAACGUGCCGAUGUUCGAUGCUUAUAAAAACACAUCAUUUCUGUUGCCGAUAACGUUACUUCGUUAUAAUAUUUUGUUAAGAUUAAUGAUGGAUUUCCAUGCCCUACACGGAAUUCAACUAGCCGAGAGCUAUCCUUUAUGUGGCAAUGGGGUUGAAAUUUCCUACCCUUCUGUCUGUUAAGCAACACAAAGCAUACCUUAACGGUUUCGUCGCGCUAACGAUCGUAUAGUUUGUGCGGCACCCGCUUAUCAAGUUAUUUACCUUGGCAAUUGGAUGCAAAUAGAUCAAUAUGGUUUUGAUGCUAAUGUUCAAAGCUGCUUCUGACUCAGCGGUAGAUUGAGUAUCGUCAGCUUCCACUAUCGCCAUUUAUUCAUAGUUGUUGGCUUUAAUUUUCGGGCGACUACGGAGUUAAUUUUUUAGAUAAAAAUUUACAUAUCAGUAGCGUUUAUAUUAAUAAUGAGUCGUGCGUUCGUUUGUAUUGUUCACUCCGUACUAGUCAUUAAUGUUGUGAAUUGUUUGUACGGCAUUACUACCAUGACGGAACUCGUAUUUCAUAAUUAUUUGUAGUGUCUAUAUUGAUGAAACAUGAUACAAAUGUAGUGAAAAAAAAACAUUAAUCAAGAAACAUAAUACUUAAAUUGAAAGGAAAAUUCCAUACAUUUAAUGAAUCAAUAAAAUUAUUUUGAAUUUAGAAAUAAUUGCCAGCCAUACAUAAAUUAUGUUUCAAAUGGCCUUUAUUGUAAAAGGACAAACACCAUAGGUAAAGUCUUAUUACGAGUAUGUUUACCGCAUAGAGUUACUAGUUGUAGGUACUUAUUAACUCCAUGGUUUACCGAUAUUAGAUAUAAAAAAGUGACAUUGAAGUUAUUUUUAAUGUGAUACUCAAAUAAAACUAUUUACAAAUAAAAAAUACUCAAAGAGACGAACGUGGGACGAAACAAA